UGCAGGCUGUGUCUUCAAGGAGAU
rnacentral:piRNA from 1 species